rnacentral:rRNA from 1 species
AUGAUGAAUAGUGUGCUCAUGCUUGUCCGGCUCCUCAUCCUCUGCCUUGUUCUAGCAGCCAAAGCCACCGGCGAUGACCAACUCGUCUACUCCGGUUUCACCGGCGCCAACCUCACCUUGGACGGUGCGGCCACGGUGACUCCAGACGGCCUCCUCGAGCUCACCAACGGCACGGACCAGCAGAAGGGCCACGCCUUCUACCCGACCCCGCUGCGCUUCGCCGGAGGGUCUCCCGGCGGCGGCACCGUGCGGUCCUUCUCGGCCUCCUUCGUGUUCGCCAUCCAGUCCAUCUACACCGACCUGAGCGCCCACGGCAUGGCCUUCGUGGUGGCGUCGAGCAAGAACUUCUCGUCCGCGCUGCCCGGCCAGCUCCUGGGCCUCACGGACAUCCAGAACAACGGCAACGGUAGCAACCACUUCUUCGCCGUGGAGCUCGACACCAUCCAGAACAAGGAGUUCGACGACCUCAACGCCAACCACGCCGGCGCCAACGUCAACGGCCUCCGGUCGCUGCAGUCCUACUACGCCGGCUACUUUGAUGACGAGGACGGUAGCUUCCACAACCUGAGCCUGAUCAGCCGUGAGGCCAUGCAGGUCUGGGUGGAUUACGACCACAGGACUGCACAAAUCACCGUCACCAUGGCUCCCCUCAAGGUAGGCCGACCAGUAAGGCCGUUGUUCACCACCACCUACAACCUCACCACCGCAGUGACAGACGUCGCGUACGUCGGUUUCUCCUCGGCGACCGGCACGAUCAACGUGCGACACUACGUGCUUGGCUGGAGCUUCGCCAUGAACGGCCCAGCUCCGGCCAUCGACAUCGCGAAGCUACCAAAGCUUCCGCGCAUGGGACCGAAGCCACGAUCCAAGGUGCUGGACAUAGUACUGCCAAUAGCUUCCGGAGCGUUCGUGCUCGCCUUGGGCGCCAUUGUUCUCCUGGUAUUACGGAGACGUUUCCGGUACGCCGAGCUGCGAGAAGAUUGGGAGGUCGAGUUCGGUCCACAGCGGUUCUCGUACAAGGACCUGUACCGUGCAACGGAAGGUUUCAGCGACACGCACCUGCUAGGAAUCGGAGGAUUUGGGAGGGUGUACAGGGGCACCCUUCUGGUGUCCAAAGUGGAGGUUGCUGUGAAGAAGGUUGCACACGACUCGAAGCAGGGCAUCAAGGAAUUCAUCUCGGAGGUCGUGAGCAUAGGACGUCUCCAACACAGCAAUCUUGCGCCAUUGCUAGGAUACUGCAGACGAAGAGGCGAAUUGUUUCUGGUGUACGAGUACAUGCCAAAUGGGAGCGUUGACAAGUACUUGCACCGUAGAGAAGGCAAACCCAUUUUGAAUUGGGCUCAGAGGUGGCACAUCAUCAAAGGCAUUGCGUCAUGUCUGGUCUACCUUCAUGAAGAGUGGGAGAAAGUGGUCAUCCACCGCGACAUCAAAGCCAGUAACGUCGUCCUCGAUGGCGACAUGAAUGGAAGACUCGGUGACUUUGGCCUUGCAAGGUUGUACGACCACGACGCCGACCCCCAAACCACACAUGUGGUGGGAACCAUAGGAUACCUUGCUCCUGAGCUUGGGCAUACUAGCAAAGCAACCCCUCUCACUGAUGUGUUUGCGUUUGGGGUGUUCAUUCUUGAAGUUACUUGUGGGCAGAGGCCAGUAAAUCCAAACUUAGAGGAUAGCCAAGUAUUGUUGGUCGAAUCGGUGCUCGAGCAAUGGAACAAGGGAUCGCUCCUUGAUGCCGUGGAUAAGCAGCUUGGGGGCAACUACAACGCCGACGAGGCAUGUUUGGCUCUAAAGCUAGGCCUGUUAUGCUCUCAUCCAUUCGCCAAUGCAAGGCCUACUAUGCGACAGGUGAUGCAGUACCUUGACAGGGACAUGCCAUUGCCGGAGAUGACACCGACGGAUUUAAGCUUUCAGAUGAUGACCAUAAUGCAGAAUGAAGGAUUUGACCAAUUUGUCAUGACAUAUCCUUCAUCAACAGCGAGUGUUGACAGCACAUCCGUCCUUACAGUUGGGAGGUGA